GAGAAAACGCGUGAUUUUCGCUUAAAUGUGGGAUUCUCGAAGAGAAAACGCGUGAUUUUCGCUUAAAUGGGGUAUUUGAGAAGAGAAAAUUCGUGAUCUUCACUUAAGUGGGGAUUUCAAAGAGAAAACGCUUGAUUUUCACUUAAAUUGACGAUUCUCAAAGAGAAAAAGCGAGAUUUUCACUUAAAUGGGGGAUUUGCGAAGGGAAAACGUGUGAUUUCUGGUUAAAUGUGGGAUUUCUGAAGAGAAAACUCGUGUUUUUUUGUGUUAAUUGGGAGAUUUUGCGAAGAGAAAAUGCGUUUUUCGCUUAAAUGGGGGAUUUGAGAAAAACACGUGAUUUUCGGGUUAAAUGGGGGAUUCUUGAAGAGAAAAUGCUUGGUUUUCUGGUUAAAUGGGGGAUUUGCGAAGAGAAAACGCGUGACUUUCGCUUAAAUGGGGGAUUUGAGAAAACGCGAGAUUUUCACUUAAAUGGGGGUUUUGCGAAGGGAAACGUGUGAUUUCUGGUUAAAUGGGGGAUUUCUGAAGAGAAAACUCGUGGUUUUUUGUGUUAAUUGGGGGAUUUGCGAAGAGAAAACGCGUGAUUUUCGCUUAAAUGAGGGAUUUGAGAAAGC
rnacentral:lncRNA from 7 species